rnacentral:rRNA from 1 species
ACCAAAUUCUCAACGAUGGAUAUCUUGGUUCCCAUAACGAUGAAGAACGCAGCGAAGUGCGAUAAGCAAUGCGAAUUGCAGAACCGUGAGUCAUCAGAUUUUUGAACGCAACUGGCACUGGUUGGCUAUCCAACCAGUAUGCUUGUUUCAGUG